CCUUGAAACACGGUAUUUCUCCCAUUUCAUUUUCCCCAUCGACUCUGCCUCUCCACGACUUUCACAAACGCCUCAGCUCUCACUCUCGUCUCUAUUCGCCUUUCACCACUGACUAACGGUGCCUUAGCUCUCACUAUCGUUCCUUCCACCUUCCACCACGACCACCAGCGCCUCUCGCUCUAGUCACUCGCCUCCCGGGAUCCAAAUUAAAAUAUUUCUGUAAGGUAAGGACUCUUCAAAUUAAUACCCGCCCCUGUUCUGAACUGAUUUAUUUGUUUCUCUUUCUGUAAGUGUACUAUUUGAAGAAUUCAUACAUCGACAUGAUGCUUAAGCUGGCAAGAAACACAGGCUCUGGAAUUAAUCUUUUGGGUUCGAAAAGAAUCCCUUUCGACAUAUUCCAAAUAGGUAUUCAAGAACUGAAUUUGAGAACAAAUUGGUGCUUGAGAUUUACAAAAAUAUGGUGGCU
rnacentral:lncRNA from 1 species